AUUGAACGCUGGCGGCAGGCUUAACACAUGCAAGUCGAGCGGAGCGGCGGACGGGUGAGUAAUGCCUAGGAAUCUGCAUGGUAGUGGGGGAUAACGUCCGGAAACGGGCGCUAAUACCGCAUACUAUCAGAUGAGCCUAGGUCGGAUUAGCUAGUUGGUGGUGUAAGGGCUAACCUAGGCGACGAGCUCUAGCGGGUCUGAGAGGAUGAUCAGCCACACGGGUACUGGGAAACGGCCCAGACUCGAACGGAAGACGGCAGGGGGGAAUAUUGCACAUGGGGGGAAGGCCUGAUGCAGCCAGGCCGGUUGUAUGAAGAGGGCCUAAGGGUUGUAAAGGACUUUCAGCGGGGAGACGUUACCCGCAGAAGAAGCACCGGCUAACUCCGUGCCAGCCGCCGCGGUAAUAC
rnacentral:rRNA from 1 species